rnacentral:tRNA from 1 species
UGGCUCAGUCGGUAGAGCAUGUGACUCUUGAUCCCAGGGUUGUGAGUUCGAGCCCCAC